rnacentral:rRNA from 1 species
CUACGGGUGGCACCAGUGAGGAAUAUUGCACAAUGGGGGGAACCCUGAUGCAGCAACGCCGCGUGGAGGAUGACGCAUUUCGGUGUGUAAACUCCUUUUAUAUGUCAAGAAAAUGACGGUAGCAUAUGAAUAAGCACCGGCUAACUCCGUGCCAGCAGCCGCGGUAAUACGGAGGGUGCAAGCGUUAAUCGGAAUUACUGGGCGUAAAGCGCGCGUAGGCGGCUAGAUCAGUCGGGUGUGAAAGCCCCGGGCUUAACCUGGGAACUGCAUCCGAUACUGUCUAGCUUGAGUACGGGAGGGGGAGAUGGAAUUAGUGGUGUAGGGGUAAAAUCCGUAGAUAUCACUAGGAAUACCUAAAGCGAAGGCGAUCUCCUGGAACAUUACUGACGCUAAGGCGUGAAAGCGUGGGGAGCAAACAGGAUUAGAUACCCUCGUAGUC